GGUAUGACGGCUUCUACUUUUUUCUUGGAUCUCGCUUAGCAUUCUCGUGCUCACAAAGAUACCUGAGACAAAGGAUUAGGAGGGCGGCCGGUGAUGAGGUAGGACGCUGGGCAGAGAGACGGCAGUCGUGCGGGAGUAACCUGGAUCCUGCAGCCGGCGGUGUGAGGAGCGAAUCAAGACGCCGCCAGGUCAUGCCCGACCUCGCGGGUGCAGGCCGACAGCAGCCGAUGACCCUCUCCCGUCUGCCGCACCUCCCUCUCCUAUUUCCUCCCACUUUCUCCAUCGGCGGUGGCGGCGGCGGCGGCAAGAGGAAAGAGGGUCCCAGGGGGAGACGCGGGCUAGGUCUCGCUCUCGCUGCCCACUCGCUUCGCUCCUUCUUAUCUCGCUGCUCGCCGGUUUUUUCCUUCGCGUGGCGCACUCGCUGUACUGAUGGUAUGACGGCUUCUGCAUCUUUCUUGGAUCUCGCUUAGCAUUCUCGUGUUGUGCCAUUUGACCUGGCUGUUGGUUCUUGAUGCCACCACAACUGUCGCUGCUGUGUGGCUUUGUUUAAAUGCUGAUGCCUGGAUAUUCUUAGGUUCUUGACCUGGCACAAAUGCUCUGAUUUUCUGGUCAUAUUGAGGUGCGGUUCUGAUAGACUAUGUAGAAGCUAUUUCAUGAUCCUUAGUGCUUUUUUUUUUGGGCAUCGUCCUGCUCACGAAGAUAACGUGCAGACUAUUGAAUUGAAAUGCGACAUGCUAAUUAGGUAGUGGGUUCUGUUUCAUCUAAUGAAGUGUAGCAUGUGAAUUUCUGCAAAUCAGUUUUGUGAUCCCUUUGGGAUUUUACGAACUGAAAGACUAAAACCAACUACGACCAAUUUAGCAUGGGCUAUAUAUUGGGUUAAGUCAGCCAAUUCAUAAGUUUCAGAAUUUGUUGGUAUGAUCAUACUAUACAAGAAAACUAGGAAUGUCAGUUAACUUUAUAUCGGGUGUUUUCUGACACUGAAUAGCACCGUUGUCAGUAAGUUAUUGUUUCCGCCCGAGUGCAGCAGGGCAUGAACAGUCUAUCCAAAAUUGUUAUUGAAGUUUGCUCAUGACAUGAUUGACCAUAGAAUUUGGUAAGCUGUUGCAUUUUACGGAUUUUACUAUGAAGAACUCAGCGGCUGUUUGGAUUGAUUCCUACAGCUGCCCAUCCAAAAUAUUGAUCGUUGACCAAGCUGGUGAAGUCGUUUGGAUGAGCACUGAUUUUUUGACUCACCCAGCCCACCAGAUUUUAAUUUCUUGAUUUAUGUUUUUUCUAAACAAGAUGUGUGCAGAUCGGAUGAAGAAUACAAGAGGAAGGACCUUGAGGAAGACUGAAGAACAAUGUAUGGAUCUUCAAUUAUAAUGAUGAUCAUAGCAGGGAGAUAUACCAUACUAAGAGCAUGCAAAGAUAAGCACUGAUGUAGAAAUAUCAAGUUUGGAAGAGCACAAAACAAUAAAACAGUUGAUUAAGGCUUCACUUGGUAAUGACAACUCCAUGUGGUCAAAGGUUUGCAACCUGAUUUCCUUACAAAAUGUAGUUACUAGGGGAACCCAAAGUACUUAAUUUUAUAAUAGUUCAGUUUGUUUUUUCCGAAGCAUAAUCUUCUAAUUUCUGUGCUAAACAAUAAUGAGUAUUUGAAAAAUAGGGUUCAAACUAUUUGCAUUCUAAUUCCAGCCUUUCAGUACAUGAGGUACUGGCUGCUAGGCAGAUUGCUUUGUUUUUAAUUGCUGAGAUGCUCAAUAAUCAGGUCCACUAUUCAUGCCUAUGCACAGGAAGAUUAGUUUAAUUAAUCAUUCUUUUUUAUAGCAAUGAUUAGUUUGCUCUCAAAAAGAUGCGUUAGAAGAAUCUAUUCAGUUGUUUCUUGAAAAAGUUCUGCAUGUGGCAAAAGAUGCGGUGGCAAAGGUAUACCCUUUAUAUUAUCAUUAGAUCUGUUCUUUGUUUGGCUUUACUGUUUUCUUACCUUAAUAUUUUUUUUGGGUAUGCAGAUUUCAAAUGAAGCGAACCGAUACAUAAAUAUUUUGUUGGCAAAAUAAGAUCCUUUCAGAUAUCUUGUUGUAUGUACAAAUCAUUUCUCUUUAUGUAUCACUGUUACUUUUGUUUCUGCUUCGUGCAUCCCUACAUAGUUGGUAUCAUGGGUUAUCAACCCCUCAAACCUGUUCUGCUAUCGGAUACCAACCAGAUCAAUUUAGUGUGAGAUUAGUUUUCAGUUGAACCAAUUUUAUAGUUGAAUAUGUUGCUUUGUUGGAACGUAUGAAGGUUUGAGAAGUACAUUGCAACUUAAUGCAAAACCAUAUAACCAUGGUUCUUGGAAUCGGCUUGAAUGUAGCAGUUUUGAUAGAUAUGAAUAUAUCUAUAUAUUUCUCUGUUUCUAUCUUUAACAACUUGCUUUUAUGUAAUUUCUGUUGUGUUGUAACCAGAUUUACCCUUACCUUGGCAGUGUGUCUUGUGUGAAAUACACAUAUGAUGUUCUUAUAAAUAGUAAUUCCAUUAAUUGUCCUUUGUUUGUAACUUAGUUGAGUGGUCUGGUUGUACAUGAUUAAAUUCUGGAUAGAAACUACUUUGUGGAAAUGUGAAAGCUUGACUUAUGCCUCCGUGGGCUGGAGCUGGAGGCUGCGCUGCUCUAUGUGCAGGUGGGUAGUCGGAGGAGGUCACCGAGGGAAAGCUGGCAAGUUGCAGCGACAGGAAAGCUGGCAAGCUGCGGCGACCGCGGACGUAUGGGGUGGCGGCCAGGUCGUUGGCCCUUGGCGCGAACUUGAUGUUCUAUGGUCUGAAUUCAGUUUGAUUUUUUUUGUUUUACUUGCUAUCUGCUGCCUCUUAGACCAGUUUGAAGGAUGUCCGCUUGCUUUCCAGUAUAUCCCAAGCCUUUGCUGUGGAUACUAAAACCACCACUCGCAAGGACAAGUGAAGACUGCUACCCUGUUGCUGUCCUCAUACGCUUGUACUUUCAGUGUUUUGAACAAACCCAGGCUUUAGCACUAAUAAAGGUUGCCUGGACAGCAAAGCCGUUUUCAAUAUUCAUGAAACGUGCAACGAUGGCUCCAUCUAAUGUUCGUUGCCUCAUAA